AAUUCGACGCAACGCGAAGAACCUUACCUGGGCUCGAAAUACUGUGGACCAGCUUAUGAAAGUAGGCCUUCCCGCAAGGGACCGCAGUAUAGGCGCUGCAUGGCUGUCGUCAGCUCGUGUCGUGAGAUGUUGGGUUAAGUCCCGCAACGAGCGCAACCCUUGUCCUGUGUUGCCAUACCGAAAGGUAGAACUCGCAGGAGACCGCCAGGGAUAACCUGGAGGAAGGUGGGGAUGUCGUCAAGUCCUCAUGGCCUCUAUGUCCAGGGUUACACACGUGCUACAAUGGACGGUACAAAGGGCUGCCAACCCGCGAGGGGGAGCCAAUCCCAAAAAACCGUUCUCAGUUCGGAUUGCAGGCUGCAACUCGCCUGCAUGAAGCUGGAAUCGCUAGUAAUGGCGGAUCAGAACGCCGCCGUGAAUACGUUCCCGGGCCUUGU
rnacentral:rRNA from 1 species